rnacentral:rRNA from 1 species
AACGAACGCUGGCGGCGUGGAUAAGACAUGCAAGUCGAACGGGAUUACUUCGAGUAGCAAUACCUGAAGUAAUUUAGUGGCGAACGGGUGCGUAACACGUGGGGAAUCUGCCGAGAAGUGGGGGAUAGCUCGUCGAAAGGCGAAUUAAUACCGCAUAUGAUCAGGGAAGACAUCUUUCCAACAUCAAAGCCGGGGCAACCUGGCGCUUCUUGAUGACCCCGCGGCCUAUCAGCUAGUUGGUGAGGUAACGGCCCACCAAGGCGGUGACGGGUANCUGGUCUGAGAGGACGACCAGUCACACUGGAACUGAGACACGGUCCAGACACCUACGGGUGGCAGC